CACAAAUUAAACAUCUCCUUAAACUUUUUGUUGAAAUAGACUUUCCUCCUAGAGGCCUCAAGCGCAGUGCACUUUGAGUAUAAAUAGAGGUGAAGUGAAGCCAUUUUGAUUCAACUCUACUUCUACAAUAUCUACUUGCUUUCUCCCUCUAGCUAGGCUACAAGCUCCUUUCUUAAGAAGAACAAGUUUUCAGAAUGGCACAGUGCACUGAUUUAUAUCGGUCGUAUAUCCUGUAACAUUUCUUUCUGAUUGCAAAUGUCAAAUAUAUAAUAGGAGAAGAAGCUUUUCUACAGAGGGGCGAGAAUAUUCAAAGCAGUUAAGGAAGAUUUGUGGAACAAAGGAAUGCAAAAUGCUAAAAAUGAGGGUUGGCUACAAUCUUGAACUGCGACAAGUUCAAGUCCUUCUUUCCCGAUGAUGUCAAAGUAAAGUGCGUUGCAAACGCAGGCUUCUUCAUCAAUGCGAAGACAAUCUUUGGUACUUCAGACAUUCAAGAGAUGUAUCAGAAAGUUGUAACUUUACAUGGAUCGGCUAAGAAUUUGCCUCCAUCUUGCGCCUCUGCAAUGGAACCAAGUCUGGUAAGAGUUUUUAUAAGCUUUUUCGAAAUAAAAUUCUUUUCUGCCUGCUAUAUAAGUAUUGCCCACUAACAAUCUCGUUUUUUCCUUAAAUAAUGGUACAGUGCUUUUUUCCGCAGCAUGUUAUUCCAUAUGUUCAGACUCCAUUUUUUAUUAUUAAUUCACACUAUGACGCUUGGCAGGUCAGGGAAACAAAUAAAUGCUAAUUCUCUUCGUUUUAAGAAUUUUGUUAAUUUGCUGCUUUUUUUUUUUUUAAGUUUCUACAAAAUCUAAAAAGAUAAUUUCAUCCAGAUUAAUAAUACUUUGGUUCCUGCAUACCUCGAUCCGCAACAUACCUGGGAUCAUUGCAAGGCUCUAAUAAGUAAUUGCACGUUUAGCCAGUGUAUAAUUAUUCAACGUUAGCCCAUUUCUGGUGAUCAACUAAUACCUUUCAGAUCACACAAGUAUAAAUUCUAAUUAAUGAUCUGUUUCACCUGUUUUCUUCUUUUAAUAUAAUAGUUUUUGGAGUGGAGUUCUUGAAGGCAUUUGAGGGACUCACCCCUUCUUAUACGAGGGGUUACUUCAUCACAUCUUCUCCCGCUCAUUCUCAAAUUAUAUGGCCGAGUUACUGGUACAGUGCUACCUCUCCAAGAGUACUUAAUAAGACAAUUGCGGAAGCUGUUGCAGAUUGGUACUUUGAUAGAGCAGUUUUCCAUUAAUACAUAGACCCAUAUCCAUGUGCUAGAGAUUGCUUGUGAAUUUUUAAAGUAGUCUUGUGCUAAAUGCUCUGCUGAGCUGUGUAGAAGUACUGUUCCAGCAUUCAGUGAAUGAAACAUUAACUUUUAU